AACGAACGUUAGCGGCGCGCCUAAGACAUGCAAGUCGAGCGAGAAAGGGAUUCGUCCCCGGUAAAGCGGCGCACGGGUGAGUAACACGUAGGUAAUCAACCCUCGAGUGGUGGACAACUCUCCGAAAGGAGAGCUAAUACAGCAUGACGUGGCGGUCUUCCGAGAUCGUUUCCAAAGCGGGCCUCUUCAUGAAAGCUCGCGCUCGAGGAUGAGCCUGCGGCUCAUCAGCUAGUUGGAGGGGUAACGGCCCACCAAGGCAUAGACGGGUAGGUGGUCCGGAAUGAUGAACAGCCACACUGGAACUGAUACACGUUCCAGACUCCUACGGGAGGAAGCAGUCGGGAAUCUUCCGCAAUGGGCGAAAGCCUGACGGAGCGACGCCGCGUGAGUGAUGAAGUCCUUCGGGUUGUAAAGCUCUGUGGGAGGGAAGAAUAAGUUCAAGCGAAUACCUUGAAUGAUGACGGUACCUCCUUAGCAAGCACCGGCUAACUCUGUGCCAGCCGCCGCAGUAA
rnacentral:rRNA from 1 species